GACGAACGCUGGCGGCGUGCCUAAUACAUGCAAGUCGAGCGAAGUUUUUCUGGUGCUUGCACUAGAAAAACUUAGCGGCGAACGGGUGAGUAACACGUAAAGAACCUGCCUCAUAGACUGGGACAACUAUUGGAAACGAUAGCUAAUACCGGAUAACAGCAUUAACUGCAUGGUUGAUGUUUGAAAGUUGGUUUUGCUAACACUAUGAGAUGGCUUGCGGUGCAUUAGCUAGUUGGUGGGGUAAAGGCCUACCAAGGCGACGAUGCAUAGCCGACCUGAGAGGGUGAUCGGCCACACUGGGACUGAGACACGGCCCAGACUCCUACGGGAGGCAGCAGUAGGGAAUCUUCCGCAAUGGGCGAAAGCCUGACGGAGCAACGCCGCGUGAGUGAAGAAGGAUUUCGGUUCGUAAAGCUCUGUUGUUAGGGAAGAAUGA
rnacentral:rRNA from 1 species